rnacentral:rRNA from 1 species
GUGGUUCCGGAUGGGCAUGCGUGAUAUUAGCUGGAUGGAGAGGUAACGGCUCACCAUGGCUACGAUAUCUAGGGGAACUGAGAGGUUAAUCCCCCACACUGGUACUGAGACACGGACCAGACUCCUACGGGAGGCAGCAGUGAGGAAUAUUGGUCAAUGGGAGGAAUCCUGAACCAGCCAUGCCGCGUGCAGGACGACGGCUCUACGAGUUGUAAACUGCUUUUGUACCGGGGUAAAAUGCCUUACGAGUAGGGUUUUGAAAGUACGGUACGAAUAAGGAUCGGCUAACUCCGUGCCAGCAGCCGCGGUAAUACGGAGGAUCCGAGCGUUAUCCGGAUUCAUUGGGUUUAAAGGGUGCGUAGGUUGUUUUAUAAGUUAGCGGUGAAAUACCGAUGCUCAACAUCGGGGCUGCCGCUAAUACUGUAGGACUAGAGAUCGGAUGCAGCAGGCGGAAUGUGUAGUGUAGCGGUGAAAUGCAUAGAUAUUACACAGAACACCGAUUGCGAAGGCAGCUUGCUAGGCCGGAUCUGACACUGAUGCACGAAAGCGUGGGGAUCGAACAGGAUUAGAUACCCUGGUAGUCCACGCAGUAAACGAUG